rnacentral:rRNA from 1 species
AGCGAACGCUGGCGGCAGGCUUAACACAUGCAAGUCGAGCGGGCGUAGCAAUACGUCAGCGGCAGACGGGUGAGUAACGCGUGGGAACAUACCUUUUGGUUCGGAACAACACAGGGAAACUUGUGCUAAUACCGGAUAAGCCCUUACGGGGAAAGAUUUAUCGCCGAAAGAUUGGCCCGCGUCUGAUUAGCUAGUUGGUGAGGUAACGGCUCACCAAGGCUAUGACGGGUAGCNGGUCUGAGAGGACGACCAGUCACACUGGAACUGAGACACGGUCCAGACACCUACGGGUGGCAGCAGUCGAGAAUUUUUCUCAAUGGGGGCAACCCUGAAGGAGCGACGCCGCGUGGAGGAUGAAGGCUUUCGGGUUGUUAAACUCCUGUCAUUUGAGAACAAGGUGCAUCGGUUAACUGCCGGUGCAUUGAUAGUAUCAGAAGAGGAAGAGACGGCUAACUCUGUGCC